AGCAAAAUAUAGUGGGCAGACUAAGUAAAGAAGUUAUGCAAGUGUACUACAAUUGUUGCAUGAGUACAAUAUUUGACUCCUGUUUUACAGGAGAUAAAAGAGCCUAGGCAGCUGCAGUGUUCCUCUUCUUGCCGUCAGAUCUAGGGCCAUUGAUGAGGAGACGGUGUCUGCAGACAUUUGAAACGCCAGAGUGUGACCAGACCAUUGAUGUGGACCAGCUUCUCUACCACUCACCACCCAGCCUCCCACAGCUCUGCCACCCCACUCAACCCUGACUGCCUGAGCCGGCCUCCACCUGCACCACCCUGGGAGCCACCUGUCUCAAACAAAGAUCAUCGCAAUGGUAUUAACUGCACUAAGUGUCCUAGUAAAGGUCCCUCACUUUGCUUCCAUUCAUUGGUCCCUGGAUGGUCAGGUUGAUUACCUCUCAUUGCAACAUUGCAGGCAGUCUCUCCCGGCGUAUAAUGGCAAUGUUGUGGAGGACUGCUCAGGUGCUAACAAUGUCACAUGCCUGUUAGGAGUAACCCUGAUGAUCUUCAUGCACUAGAACCCGCAGCGGUUAAAGCACGGAAAGAUUUGUGAGCCCGAGAUCUCCCUGGAAGGAAUGUGGAAAAUGUACUUAAAUGGACUUAAAGUGCAACUCUCACCAAAAUGCAAUCUCAGGUCUUUGAAUGUACUUGAGUCAAACAUUUGUCUAAAAGCAUAGUUACGACCAAAUGCGCUACUUUUAAGAUUGACUGUAUUUUCAUUUUGUGGGUCAAAAUAACUUUCAGUGGAGUGCUAGGGGCAAAUACUAUGUUAGCAUCAAAACCGCAAUUUUCACAAAACACCAAGAAGGCAUUGAGAACAUUGUUUGUGUACCGAGUUUACUGAAAAGAAGGUUUUUGAACAACUCACGUUAGCAGUGGCUUGUUCCUUUUGCCAACGUCCUAAAGUAUAAGAAGUAGAAGGAUCUUAGGAGUUAUUGAUAUUAUGUAUUGGGAGUCUGGUUCUGCCUGUCGGACUUUCUUUGACACACAGCUAAACUAAGUUUGACAGCUAGCCUGCCACGGAGCAGGCUUGUUUUGCAGCACGAAUUACCACAGCUACUAGGAAGGGAUUCAUUCAGGCCACGGUAAUGGAAAGCAAGUCUCACUUAAUUAGGUCAGACUUGUGGAAUACCCCACUGGAGACAUUUUCAGCCGUGUUUGUGGCAACCAAAACAGGUCGGCUAUUCCAAGUCCAGCUGUGAUGUUUUCCCAACCCUAACCAAGUGGUUUUUAUGUCUAAGCCUAGCAGAUAAUAAUCACAGUGUUGUGACAAGAGAAAUAUAUAGAAAAUUCAACUUGAAUAAAUGUAAAGUUGCAACAUAAAGAAACGUUCAGUUUGACCAUAUUUGUGGUUUUGCAGCAGUUUCACCUUAUUUCCAAAACUAAUGGCAUCCAAUGAAAUAUGAAAUUAGUGAUGUUAUGUGAAACAUGACAGAAGUGGGUCACUGCAGCACUAUGAAGGCUCCAAUAGUAUGUUUGAGGGAAACUCAGUAGCUACAGUAGGCUACAAACAGUACAGCAGCUGAAACACAAUACUACACAACUUCCCCUCAAAACAAUAAACAGACACAGAAGAAAACAUUUUGUUCUUCAUGGUCGUGUGAAAUGAAGUGGCUGUAGCACCACCACAGUCACGUUACAAUCAAAGAGACAGGUUUCGCAAAAAAAAGACCAGACCUGUCGAGGCAGCAUUUUGCCAAAUCAGAUGAUUCACGUGGAACUCUCAGUUCUCAGAGAGGUUUAAUCAAAUAAUGAGCUGCUCUUCGUUGUCAACCUCUCCCACAGAACUCAUUUCCCUGCUCGUCUGCCUGCAUGCGCCAAAGUGUCAGUUGUUCAUCUCCUCACUACAGAGCUGUGUUAUCCACUGGCUGCAGGCAGGACGAAAUCAUGUGCACAAUGAUGUGUUUACUUUGCAACAGAGGGCAAAUGACAGCUAAGGCUAAUUUACCUGCAUUCAUCUCAGAGCUAUGACGGGAACAGGCCAUUUAAGUUUUUAAUCAGGCUGGCAGUGGAAUCGUGGGAUUUUUACAGGCUUAUUGUCUGACAAGGGGAUCAGAUGACAGUCGGCUCCUGCCUCGUGUUUUGCAGAGCGCUAAGUCGGGCGGAUGUCAGCAUGUGUGCAGCGUUCAAGAAUUUGACCUCGUGCUCGUGAAAAAAACGUACUGCGUGUCAAAGUCAAUUUAUUCUUCACCUGUAUAUACAGUAUGGCACUUCACCAAGCAGUGCAUGUUUAAAUGUCAGUUACAGUGGAGAGUUCAGCCAAAAAAUAAUCAUCAAGGAAGUUUUUGUUGCAUUUCCUGCUAUUCAAAGUUGUUUUACCCUCUUUGUCAUGGCUAAAUAUUCCGACCAUUGAGUUAAACCUGCACGGCUCACUUUUUAACUUAAGCGAUGGACCAAAUGCCAGUGUAAUGUUAAAGGGGUUGCUGGAAGCGACGAAUCCACAAAGAAUAUUUACUCUGCAGAGUGAGGUUGUAAAAGGUAUCGAUUCAGCACUUAAGUACUUUUUAAAUAUGUGUUUGAAACAAUACAAUACCCGUAUUCAAUAG